UUGGAGGUAGUGACAAUAAAUCACAAUGCGGAACAAUGUUUUGCAAUUGGAUUGAGAACAACGUACAAACCUUAUCGAUAAACAAUUGGAGGGCAAGUCUGGUGCCAGCAGCCGCGGUAAUUCCAGCUCCAAUAGCGUAUAUUAACGUUGUUGCAGUUAAAAAGCUCGUAGUUGAAAUGAAGGGUAGUUGUGUAAUGAAUACAUUCGUGUAUUUUGUUAUUCUACUACCCUCCUUCUAAAUUCGAUAUAUGAGUAUUAAUUUACUUGUAUAUGGUUUUAGACCUUUACUGUGAGAAAAUUAGAGUGUUCAAAGCAGGCAUUUGCUUGAAUAUAUUAGCAUGGAAUAAUCAUGUAUGAUUUUCAUGAUGUAUUUGAUUGGUUUGGUUGAUGAGAAUAAGAUUAAAAGGGACAGUUGGGGGUAUUCAUAUUCAAUAGUCAGAGGUGAAAUUCUCGGAUUUAUGGAAGAUGAACAAGUGCGAAAGCAA
rnacentral:rRNA from 1 species